rnacentral:rRNA from 1 species
UACGUAGGCAGCAAGCGUUGUUCGGAAUUACUGGGCGUAAAGGGCUCGUAGGCGGCCAACUAAGUCGGACGUGAAAUCCCUCAGCUUAACUGGGGAACUGCGUCUGAUACUGGAUGGCUUGGAUUUGGGAGAGGGAUGCGGAAUUCCAGGUGUAGCGGUGAAAUGCGUAGAUAUCUGGAGGAACACCGGUGGCGAAGGCGGCAUCCUGGACCAACAUUGACGCUGAGGAGCGAAAGCCAGGGGAGCAAACGGG